rnacentral:rRNA from 1 species
AAUAUUGGUCAAUGUUGGCAACCCUGAUCCAGCCAUGCCGCGUUUUUGAAGAAGGUCUUCUGAAUGUAAAGCACUUUAAGUUGGGAGGAAGGGCUUUAGGUUAAUACCCUGAAGUUUUGACGUUACCAACAGUAUAAGUACCGGCUAACUCUGUGCCAGCAGCCGCGGUAAUACAGAGGUUGCAAGCGUUAUACGGAAUUACUGGGCGUAAAGCGCGCGUAGGUGGUUCAGUAAGAUGGGUGUGAAAUCCCCGGGCUUAACCUGGGAACUGCUUUCAUAACUGCUGAGCUAGAGUACGGUAGAGGGUAGUGGAAUUUCCUGUGUAGCGGUGAAAUGCGUAGAUAUAGGAAAGAACACCAGUGGCGAAGGCGACUACCUGGACUGAUACUGACACUGAGGUGCGAAAGCGUGGGGAGCAAAC